CAGGCCUAACACAUGCAAGUCGAGCGGCAGCGACAAUACUGAUUCUUCGGAUGACGUUAUAGGGCGGCGAGCGGCGGACGGGUGAGUAAUGGCUGGGAACCUGCCUGGUAGAGGGGGAUAACCACUGGAAACGGUGGCUAAUACCGCAUGAUGUCUACGGACCAAAGAGGGGGACCUUCGGGCCUCUCGCUACCGGAUGGGCCCAGUUGGGAUUAGCUAGUUGGUGAGGUAAAGGCUCACCAAGGCGACGAUCCCUAGCUGGUUUGAGAGGAUGAUCAGCCACACUGGAACUGAGACACGGUCCAGACUCCUACGGGAGGCAGCAGUGGGGAAUAUUGCACAAUGGGCGCAAGCCUGAUGCAGCCAUGCCGCGUGUGUGAAGAAGGCCUUCGGGUUGUAAAGCACUUUCAGCCGUGAGGAAGGCAUUGUACUUAAUACGUGCAGUGUUUGACGUUAGCGGCAGAAGAAGCACCGGCUAACUCCGUGCCAGCAGCCGCGGUAAUACGGAGGGUGCGAGCGUUAAUCGGA
rnacentral:rRNA from 1 species